UCACUAGUCACUAGUAAAGCUAGCCCUUUUGUGAGUAAAAUGCGCUCUUGUGAGUGAAGUGAACCCUACUCACUCACUCCCUCAUCAUACACACACCCCUCCCCUUCUCUAUAAAGCUGCUGCUUGCAAAAUUUAUAUAUAUGGUAGAGUGGUCCAUCAGAUUUUGUAUGGGCAUGCUUUCUCUCUCUUCUUUCUCUCUCUAUUUCACAAUUUUUUCAGUGCAAGAACAGAAAACCAUCAUAUCUUUGAGAUCUGAGAAGAAUUUGCUCAAGAAAGCUGUGGGAGAACAUGGCAAGUUUCAGGAUUUUGUUAAAUUGAAGCAGCUUCAACAACUUGAAAUGAGUCAAGAUUCAAGAAUCAAGAACCUGUGUUGAGUUCUGCAUGGAUUAUGGUAAUUAAUUCAAGAUUUCUGUUUUUCUUUUUAUUAUGAUAAUUCUUGCAUGUCUUGCUAAAUUAUGAUGUGGGUUUUCAUAAAAACUAGUAAUUCUUGAAGCUUAUGUGAAAAGAAUUGACAAAAAUCUAGAAAUUUUUGGCAAGAGACUGAAGCAGCUUCAAGAACUUGAAAUGAGUGAAGAAUCAAGAACCUGUGUAGAAUUCUGCAUGAAUUAUGGUAAUUAAUUCAAGAUUUCUGUUUUUUUUCUUGUCAAAAUCUUGAUAAUUCUUACUAAAUUGUGAAGUGGGUUUUCAUAAAAUCUAGUAAUCUUCAAGUUUGAGUGAAAAGAACGGACAAAAAUCAAGAAAAUGUUUUAGCUGCUAGCUAGCUAGGUUUUCAACCAUGCAUGAGAAUUGACUAAAUAUCUAAAAAAAAUCACAUAAUAUUGCAUAAAACUUAAAGAAAUUGUACCCUAACAAUUAUCAAAUUACACAAAUAGAUGUAUGAAUGAAAAUUUGUGAAGAAAAAAGAGAGUUAAUAAUACUAAUAAUUAAGUGAAGAGAGAAGAAAAAAAGGUUUCCUUUUGAAUGGUAAAUGAUGAAAGUUUCUUACUGUUGGGGCUUUUGGUUUAGCUUCUAAAAUGAUCUCCUACAAUUCCGUGAAAAAGGUUAAACUUUGUCACUUUGUGACAUCAUUUUUUAACCACUCCUCUCUUUUUUUAAAAAAAAAAAAACAUUUUUCUUAAAAUUUCUAUUUCAUUCUAUUUAUUCUGUAAAUAUGAUUCUGUAUUAUAUAAUGAUUUUUUUGGUGGGAUCUGAACAGUGGUAGUUGAGGAUAUAUAUACACAGUAUAAGAUAUUGUGUCAUAAUUGACAUUUCCUAGCUGUCAAUCUGAUGAUAUCAACUGUCCAACCAGCACAAUUAUUCUUCUGUUUUUCCAGUAAAAUUAUUGUUUUUUUAUUUUACUAUUUUGAUCUUCUUACUGAAAACCUUGUACUUGUGCAUUGCAUUAGUUGGAAAUAAUCAAAUUAAUUUCUUAGUUUCAUAUAUAUUAAUUCUUAGUAAUUUUUGAUUAUUGUGUUAGCUUAAUUUUUGUAGAAUUGCCUCUCUUUCUUUACAUAAAUCAUGUAUUAAGCUUUUGUUUGCAAUAAUUUCUUUAUACGCAUUUAUGCAUUCUGAUUUCUGUUAAUUGUGUAUAUAAUUUGAAUUUUGUUUAGUUUUUUUUUUUCAUAUAUAUUGUGUGUAAUUAGAAAGGGAUUGGAAUUCCCCAAGUUCAUUUUAAAUUUGAGGGAGUCAUGUUCACGAUGCAUACACCGUUCGUUAAUAAAAUGAACGGUGUAGAUUAAUUUAAUUAAAAUUGUACCUUUUUGAUUUACAUCGUUUAUUUUAUAAUAAAGGGUGUAUAUCGUGAAUAUUCCUCUCAAGUUCAAAAUGAACUUGAGGGAAUUCCAAUUCAUUAGGAAGGAUAAACUUUUUUUUGAUGAAUAGGAAGGAAAAACUUGAAGCAUAUAGAAUUUCUUUUUUUAUUUUACUUAAGGUAUUGGUUAUAAUUCCGGAUUUUCAAAGAUUGAUUCUACUUUUUUUUUUAAGGAAGAACAUAUAUAAUUAAAUUAAACCUUAACUAUUUUAGUUAGAUCAUCGAAUGAGUGUGAGCAAUUCAGGAAUAAUACAUUUGUUAGCUAUAUCAACUACUUUUUAUUUUCUUCCAGUAGCUUUUCUUUUUGUUUUUCUUUUCUAGAUUUGUUCGUAUUAAAUCUCAUCACUUCAUAUGAGUUAACUUAUGAAUCCUUUAAAAUUUCAAUGAAUUUUCCUUUUUCAAAUAAAAUUAAGGCAAAAUGAACUUAUCUAUUCAAAAUUAUAACUUUUUAUCAAAUAUACUAUGACUUUUGAAUUUUUUCAAUUUGGUCCAUCAUUUAUUCAAUUUUUACUGAAUACACCCGAGGCUUAUUUGGAUUAUGCCAAAUAUAUCCAAAUAUACUCAAGUCUUGGGUAUAUUUGACCAAGAUAGAAUAAAUGACGGAUCAAAUUGACAAAAUUAAAAAUCAUAGUGUAUUUGGCAAAACAAUUAGUUGUGGGUAGUUAAGUUCAUUUUGCCUAAAAUUAAUUGUUUUAUAAGAAAAACAGCUAUGAAAAUACUUAUAGAUUGUAAAAUUUAUUUAUUCUCCAAAUUCUUUCAUUUAAAAUCUCACGUAUUAGAUAAGAAAGUUUAACUCCUUGAUUUUUUAUAUAUGAUAAAUUAUAAUAUCUUAUUAUUCUAAAUUUAAUUUUCAAUUAGAACAGUUUACUCUUUAAACAUGUAGAUUCAAAUUCAUGAAAGUUAAAAAAAAAAAAUUAAUCCAAACGGUGAAUUAGGGAUCAUGAAAUUAUUAAAGUAAAGGGAAAGUAAACAAAAAAGAAAAGGCAGCAUUAGUGAGAAAUAAUGCAACUUUGUUAAGGGAAUCUUUCCUUAAUACAAAAGUAAAUGAAAGACUAAUGUUUAGCCAAGGAAAUGUAAGAAAAAUGAUGAUGAAGGGUUAGGUCCACAUAAAAGAAAAGUAGUUUAAUUAUAUAAUAGGUCAGACAAAGAAGCAUGGCAGAUUCGUACAGAGUCAUAAUAUAUAGAGUUGCUGUUAAUAAAAAUGCAGUGAUCAGUGUUUAAUUUUCCUAAUAUUACACUCUUAAUAUAUAGUAUAUACUUCUCUAGAUCACUUAGUGAUGAAACAUUUUAUGAGAAAUAAUUAAAUAGACCCGUCAACCGAGUCAUACGUGGAUACAUUUAAAGUAAAAUGUUUUUACCUACUCAUAAUUAUAUUUCGUUUGCCAAAUAUAGUAUGAUUUUGAAAGUUAUCAAUUUGUUCCAUCAUUUUUUCGAAUGUUGUCAAAUAUAUUCAUGUUUAUAUGUGGCUGAUGUGGUGAAUGCAAAGUAGGAAAAAUUUUGUGCACAUGGACGUAUAAUAUUGCGUCACUUCAGCUCUAUACAAGUUGUAAUUAUUUGGUAAACACUUAAAAAAUGAUGGAUCGAAAUGUAAAAUUUUAAAAUUAUGGUAUAUUUGACAAAUAAAGUAUAAUUGUGAAUAGAUAAAUACAUCUUACCAAAAUUCAAUAUUAUAUAAAUACAUUAUUAAAUAUGUAAACAUUAUUAUGUAUUAUUAUAAGUUCUAUAUCUAUCAGUAAUGUGGUGGCCAGAGUUAUCAUAAGUAUUUCUCACAUUGUAUUCAAAUACAAUGACAUUAGUUUGCUGUUUAAUAUAUGUGGUAGAGAAUUUUCCUUUUUCCUUUAAAUUAUUGUAUAUUUGAAAUUUAUAUUUAUAUGUUUUUGCAAUAAUUUGGCAAUUUUAUUGUUGUUUUUGAGCAUAAAAAAUGAAGCAAGCUUUAGUUUCCAAAAACAAGAAAGGAAUCUCUGAAAUGGUGACCCAAUUCAUGAAGAAUCGUCCAAACAAUAUCUACAGUGGGAUUGGCAUGCAGCUUCAUAUUUCGUACAUGACCUAAUUUUCCAUUUUAACCCAACCUUUUCUUUUUGUUUCAUUCGUAUCCUUUUAAUUACAGCGAGUACAAUUUUGUGGGACAAAUAGAGAAGUCAGUACGAUUUUAAUUACUAUGUUUCCUUGUACAGCAUAGCAUGUAAAUUUUGAUUUCUAUUGGCUGAACCAACAAAUAUACUGUAUUGUGUUCAUGUUUCAUCACAUUAUGUGUAUGAAGCAUCAAGCAGUUUUAGUUGGUGAAGAAUGUAGUAGAUAUGACUGGACAACUGAAAUAUUUACUUCAUGAGUUUCUUUAA